rnacentral:rRNA from 2 species
AGCGUACACGGUGGAUGCCCUGGCAGUCAGAGGCGAUGAAGGACGUGCUAAUCUGCGAUAAGCGUCGGUAAGGUGAUAUGAACCGUUAUAACCGGCGAUUUCCGAAUGGGGAAACCCAGUGUGUUUCGACACACUAUCAUUAACUGAAUCCAUAGGUUAAUGAGGCGAACCGGGGGAACUGAAACAUCUAAGUACCCCGAGGAAAAGAAAUCAACCGAGAUUCCCCCAGUAGCGGCGAGCGAACGGGGAGCAGCCCAGAGCCUGAAUCAGUGUGUGUGUUAGUGGAAGCGUCUGGAAAGGCGCGCGAUACAGGGUGACAGCCCCGUACACAAAAAUGCACAUAUUGUGAGCUCGAUGAGUAGGGCGGGACACGUGGUAUCCUGUCUGAAUAUGGGGGGACCAUCCUCCAAGGCUAAAUACUCCUGACUGACCGAUAGUGAACCAGUACCGUGAGGGAAAGGCGAAAAGAACCCCGGCGAGGGGAGUGAAAAAGAACCUGAAACCGUGUACGUACAAGCAGUGGGAGCACGCUUAGGCGUGUGACUGCGUACCUUUUGUAUAAUGGGUCAGCGACUUAUAUUCUGUAGCAAGGUUAACCGAAUAGGGGAGCCGAAGGGAAACCGAGUCUUAACUGGGCGUUAAGUUGCAGGGUAUAGACCCGAAACCCGGUGAUCUAGCCAUGGGCAGGUUGAAGGUUGGGUAACACUAACUGGAGGACCGAACCGACUAAUGUUGAAAAAUUAGCGGAUGACUUGUGGCUGGGGGUGAAAGGCCAAUCAAACCGGGAGAUAGCUGGUUCUCCCCGAAAGCUAUUUAGGUAGCGCCUCGUGAAUUCAUCUCCGGGGGUAGAGCACUGUUUCGGCAAGGGGGUCAUCCCGACUUACCAACCCGAUGCAAACUGCGAAUACCGGAGAAUGUUAUCACGGGAGACACACGGCGGGUGCUAACGUCCGUCGUGAAGAGGGAAACAACCCAGACCGCCAGCUAAGGUCCCAAAGUCAUGGUUAAGUGGGAAACGAUGUGGGAAGGCCCAGACAGCCAGGAUGUUGGCUUAGAAGCAGCCAUCAUUUAAAGAAAGCGUAAUAGCUCACUGGUCGAGUCGGCCUGCGCGGAAGAUGUAACGGGGCUAAACCAUGCACCGAAGCUGCGGCAGCGACGCUUAUGCGUUGUUGGGUAGGGGAGCGUUCUGUAAGCCUGUGAAGGUGUGCUGUGAGGCAUGCUGGAGGUAUCAGAAGUGCGAAUGCUGACAUAAGUAACGAUAAAGCGGGUGAAAAGCCCGCUCGCCGGAAGACCAAGGGUUCCUGUCCAACGUUAAUCGGGGCAGGGUGAGUCGACCCCUAAGGCGAGGCCGAAAGGCGUAGUCGAUGGGAAACAGGUUAAUAUUCCUGUACUUGGUGUUACUGCGAAGGGGGGACGGAGAAGGCUAUGUUGGCCGGGCGACGGUUGUCCCGGUUUAAGCGUGUAGGCUGGUUUUCCAGGCAAAUCCGGAAAAUCAAGGCUGAGGCGUGAUGACGAGGCACUACGGUGCUGAAGCAACAAAUGCCCUGCUUCCAGGAAAAGCCUCUAAGCAUCAGGUAACAUCAAAUCGUACCCCAAACCGACACAGGUGGUCAGGUAGAGAAUACCAAGGCGCUUGAGAGAACUCGGGUGAAGGAACUAGGCAAAAUGGUGCCGUAACUUCGGGAGAAGGCACGCUGAUAUGUAGGUGAAGCGACUUGCUCGUGGAGCUGAAAUCAGUCGAAGAUACCAGCUGGCUGCAACUGUUUAUUAAAAACACAGCACUGUGCAAACACGAAAGUGGACGUAUACGGUGUGACGCCUGCCCGGUGCCGGAAGGUUAAUUGAUGGGGUCAGCGCAAGCGAAGCUCUUGAUCGAAGCCCCGGUAAACGGCGGCCGUAACUAUAACGGUCCUAAGGUAGCGAAAUUCCUUGUCGGGUAAGUUCCGACCUGCACGAAUGGCGUAAUGAUGGCCAGGCUGUCUCCACCCGAGACUCAGUGAAAUUGAACUCGCUGUGAAGAUGCAGUGUACCCGCGGCAAGACGGAAAGACCCCGUGAACCUUUACUAUAGCUUGACACUGAACAUUGAGCCUUGAUGUGUAGGAUAGGUGGGAGGCUUUGAAGUGUGGACGCCAGUCUGCAUGGAGCCGACCUUGAAAUACCACCCUUUAAUGUUUGAUGUUCUAACGUUGACCCGUAAUCCGGGUUGCGGACAGUGUCUGGUGGGUAGUUUGACUGGGGCGGUCUCCUCCUAAAGAGUAACGGAGGAGCACGAAGGUUGGCUAAUCCUGGUCGGACAUCAGGAGGUUAGUGCAAUGGCAUAAGCCAGCUUGACUGCGAGCGUGACGGCGCGAGCAGGUGCGAAAGCAGGUCAUAGUGAUCCGGUGGUUCUGAAUGGAAGGGCCAUCGCUCAACGGAUAAAAGGUACUCCGGGGAUAACAGGCUGAUACCGCCCAAGAGUUCAUAUCGACGGCGGUGUUUGGCACCUCGAUGUCGGCUCAUCACAUCCUGGGGCUGAAGUAGGUCCCAAGGGUAUGGCUGUUCGCCAUUUAAAGUGGUACGCGAGCUGGGUUUAGAACGUCGUGAGACAGUUCGGUCCCUAUCUGCCGUGGGCGCUGGAGAACUGAGGGGGGCUGCUCCUAGUACGAGAGGACCGGAGUGGACGCAUCACUGGUGUUCGGGUUGUCAUGCCAAUGGCACUGCCCGGUAGCUAAAUGCGGAAGAGAUAAGUGCUGAAAGCAUCUAAGCACGAAACUUGCCCCGAGAUGAGUUCUCCCUGACUCCUUGA